ensembl:lncRNA
GAAAAACCUUUCUUGGCCCUCCUCAAUGGUUUAGGAAGAUCCUGACUGUCAGGGUGUAUCAAGUUAAGUGCAACAUGAAGAAUGAGGCAAUAUGAAGAAAAAUCAUACGUACAGAGACAGCAAAGGUCAUUCAAGUGCACAGAUGUGGGAUGUUCAGCAUACUGGCCAAAAAGAAAUUCCAAACUCCAGAAAACGUAGCACCAGGAUGGAAUACAUAUAACCACAUCACUAGAAGAAUGACUGUGAGUCUUUAAGGCAGUGCCUAUGGAAAAGAAUAAAAGGCCCAACAGGCGCCGAGAUCUGGUCAGAAAAAAAUUGCUAGGAAGAGAAAAAUGGAUCACGAUCCUAGAAAGAGACCCUGAGCACGUAUGAAAGACCAUAUGGUAAUGAUCAAAGUUGAGGAAAAACAAAAAGCUGCCUUCCACCUGCAAAACAGAAUUGUCUGAAGAUAGUGAAAUGGGAAUGCUUUGAAGAUAAGCCAUCAUGCACUGUGGGAAAAGGAGGCAAGAAGUGAAACCUGGUUUUGAGACAAUUUCCUAAGGUGCACUCUGUGAUUGGUGAGCGGGGGAGCCAGGUGCUGAUUAUUUUCUACUCUGUUCUAACAUGUAAAAGUCAGCAGAAGUGCUAAUUGCAUUUGUUACCUGCUUUUCCUCAUAACCUUCCUUCCUGUGGAUAGAAAGCAGACAGAGGAGAAACUGAACAUGAUCCCAGCUCUUUCUUUGGAAAAAAGUACUUCAGGUAGUCAGUCAUCCCCCCUUCAGGAUUCCUUUAUUGCCUUCAGUGGUCUUCUCCUGGUGCGCUUCAAGAAGAUAAAGGCUUAAGUUCAAACAUGGGCUCUGCAGUUUCUCCCUCUUAUGUUUCUCGAUCAGUCUGAAAUCUGAAGGCAGGCACUGAUGGAAAUUGAGGAUGCUAUUUUUGAGGUCACAGCAAGAGAAGUGAGUAUACCUAAUUCCCUCCACUCUUCUAUUGCACUCACUGGUAGCACGUAUGCCUCCUUCAGAAAGCAUGAGGAAUCUUGAGACACAGGAGGUAACUCAAAUUUACGCUGCACAAAGUGUGGCAAGUCAGAUCUAGAGAUGUCAUUUCAACAGUUUUAACAUCCCUUGGUUACAUAAUAUUGUACUGAUCAGAACUUAAUCAUCUCUCUGACAUGAAGAGUGUUACUGAUGAUUGAACUGCAGAUGCUUACUGUGGAGACAGCAGCCGCUUAACUGGUCUGUUUACAGUCAUACAAGUGGCUAGAAGAACACAAAGGUGGUUACUGUGGUUCUAUCGAGACCACGUCCUGUUUCUGAUAAGGAACGAAUGCAGGCAGCUGCCUGGGUCUGCAGGGAUGCCUGCCGAGCUGCGUACCUUUGAGUAUUCUCACAGCCUCCAGCCAUUUACGCUUUAGGGAUUUCUAAGGUGGAGGUGGCUUCUGUGUGUUUAAUAACCUUUAAUGAUUCCUCCCCGCCCUCCCCCAGCUUGUUUAGUCUCUCUUUUGAGACACACAAACAUUUAACAUUCACAUCACACCCAUGGCAG